rnacentral:misc_RNA from 1 species
ACAUCGGUUGGAUAUUGGGCAAAAGUGCUUCAUAUAUGACUUCGACAAUCCUCUUCCCAUAAGGUGUCUUUUGAGAUUGAAUUAGGCCCGAUUUAUUUUAUCAACAAAGUAUUAGAGUCAACUCCAAUCUCAAUGUUAGACUACCCAUAGAUGUUCAAUCCUACAAACUUCAUGCUCUAGAUGUCUAGCCCUAGGGGUGAAAAGGUGUGGUAACUCCCACAUUGGCCCACCAUCGGACAAAAGUGUGUUGUGGAUGCUUUUGUGGCAUCUUAUGGGUGCCCUCGAGACA